rnacentral:lncRNA from 1 species
GGCCACAUAGCGGUCAUAAGACAUCACUGUAAGAAGGGCCACCUCACUCCAGGCCAAACCUGUGAAGAAAAAUAUCUGCAGCAUGCACUGCCCAUAUGAAAUGUAGCCACUUCGUGCCAGGGAACUGUCAACAUACUGGGGGACUGUGACAGAGAGGGAUGAGAGAUCCAGAAUGGAAAGGUGCUUCAGAAAGUAAUACAUUGGAGACUGGAGCUGUGGGUCCAGUGUUGUGAUGGUGAUAAUGAUGAAGUUCCCUGCUGAGCCCAAUAGGUAUGUCAGCAAAAACAGCAAGAUUUCAACCGUUGUCCUGUGGCAUAUAUACAUUUACACCCCAGUACAUACAAAAAUGAGUUUAAAACACAAAUAAGGGAAGAAAGUUUAGACUGGGUAGAAGCAGAGCUACAAGUUCUUGAAGACUCUGCUAAACUGUAAUCUCCCCACCCCCAGCCUGAAACCUGCUUGCUCAGGGGUGGAACUUCCCACUCAAUCGUUCUGCCACGCCCACUGCUGGAACCUGCCCUGCCGCUUUGCUGUUCGGAGCCAUACACGUGGUCACCCUGCUACUGGAUCCCAAGAUUAUUUGGCGGGAAUCGGGUCCCUCCCCCUCCUUCACAUAAGACAUCACUGUGAGAAUGGCCACCUCACUCCAGGCUAAACCUGUGAAGAAAAAAACCUGCAGCAUGCACUGCCCAUAUGAAAUAUAGCCACUUCGUGCCAGGGAACUGUCAACAUACUGGGGAACUGUGACAGAGAGAGAUGAGAAGUCCAUAAUGGAAAGGUGCUUCAGAAAGUAAUACAUUGGAGACUGGAGCUGUUUGUCUAUUGUUGUGAUGGUGAUAAUGAUGAAGUUCCCUGCUGAAUCCAAUAGGUAUGUCACCAAGAAGAGCAAAGCCUGUAAGAUCUGCAGCUCAUGGUUGUCAGAGAACCCCAUGAGGAGGAAUCCACUCACUGUUGUCAUGUUUCUUGGAGUCAUUUUGCAAAUAAGUUUGUGGUAACAGCUAAAAAAUAAAAAAAAUUGUGAAAUGUAGAUAAUGUUUAAGGAAUUGCAGUUUAUCAAGCCUGAAAGCAUGAUAGAUAUACCUUCAAUGCCAAGAAUCUGCAGGAUAAAAUAGUUCUUCUGUGAUGAGGUUUAGACUUUUUGAUAAGUAAGCAGUAGUUAGAGGUGAGUACAAGUGUCACAACUCACCAUAUUGUUGUGCUUUCUCUAAAAACAUUUCAAUUUCCAUCAAGGAAACCUAUGACUUUCAAGUCACAAUAGAAAUGCAAUUAUGAGGUAUUGGUUAACGUUUUCUGUACUUACAUUUUGUGACUUCUGUAUUACAUUUUGUGUACCUCGGUAUUGUAGCUCAUGGCCUAGUUGUAGACAGGUGAUAAACAUUUUCUUCCUAUCUAGCCAUGUGCUCAUUCCCAUAGAAACUACAUACAGUGUUGCUAAGAGCCUAAUCAAAUGGGGCAUCCUUUUGUUUUUUCUAUUUUUUAGUGUAUAACCAAGCCCAGAGCCUUGAAAUUUCUCAGUAAGCACUCUUACAUUAUUUCUAUAUUGAAACGUACUU